rnacentral:rRNA from 1 species
AGAGUUUGAUCCUGGCUCAGGAUGAACGCUAGCUACAGGCUUAACACAUGCAAGUCGAGGGGCAGCAUGGUCUUAGCUUGCUAAGGCCGAUGGCGACCGGCGCACGGGUGAGUAACACGUAUCCAACCUGCCGUCUACUCUUGGACAGCCUUCUGAAAGGAAGAUUAAUACAAGAUGGCAUCAUGAGUCCACAUGUUCACAUGAUUAAAGGUAUUCCGGUAGACGAUGGGGAUGCGUUCCAUUAGAUAGUAGGCGGGGUAACGGCCCACCUAGUCUUCGAUGGAUAGGGGUUCUGAGAGGAAGGUCCCCCACAUUGGAACUGAGACACGGUCCAAACUCCUACGGGAGGCAGCAGUGAGGAAUAUUGGUCAAUGGGCGAGAGCCUGAACCAGCCAAGUAGCGUGAAGGAUGACUGCCCUAUGGGUUGUAAACUUCUUUUAUAAAGGAAUAAAGUCGGGUAUGGAUACCCGUUUGCAUGUACUUUAUGAAUAAGGAUCGGCUAACUCCGUGCCAGCAGCCGCGGUAAUACGGAGGAUCCGAGCGUUAUCCGGAUUUAUUGGGUUUAAAGGGAGCGUAGAUGGAUGUUUAAGUCAGUUGUGAAAGUUUGCGGCUCAACCGUAAAAUUGCAGUUGAUACUGGAUAUCUUGAGUGCAGUUGAGGCAGGCGGAAUUCGUGGUGUAGCGGUGAAAUGCUUAGAUAUCACGAAGAACUCCGAUUGCGAAGGCAGCCUGCUAAGCUGCAACUGACAUUGAGGCUCGAAAGUGUGGGUAUCAAACAGGAUUAGAUACCCUGGUAGUCCACACGGUAAACGAUGAAUACUCGCUGUUUGCGAUAUACGGCAAGCGGCCAAGCGAAAGCGUUAAGUAUUCCACCUGGGGAGUACGCCGGCAACGGUGAAACUCAAAGGAAUUGACGGGGGCCCGCACAAGCGGAGGAACAUGUGGUUUAAUUCGAUGAUACGCGAGGAACCUUACCCGGGCUUAAAUUGCAGAUGAAUUACGGUGAAAGCCGUAAGCCGCAAGGCAUCUGUGAAGGUGCUGCAUGGUUGUCGUCAGCUCGUGCCGUGAGGUGUCGGCUUAAGUGCCAUAACGAGCGCAACCCUUGUUGUCAGUUACUAACAGGUUAUGCUGAGGACUCUGACAAGACUGCCAUCGUAAGAUGUGAGGAAGGUGGGGAUGACGUCAAAUCAGCACGGCCCUUACGUCCGGGGCUACACACGUGUUACAAUGGGGGGUACAGAGGGCCGCUACCACGCGAGUGGAUGCCAAUCCCAAAAACCUCUCUCAGUUCGGACUGGAGUCUGCAACCCGACUCCACGAAGCUGGAUUCGCUAGUAAUCGCGCAUCAGCCACGGCGCGGUGAAUACGUUCCCGGGCCUUGUACACACCGCCCGUCAAGCCAUGGGAGCCGGGGGUACCUGAAGUGCGUAACCGCGAGGAGCGCCCUAGGGUAAAACUGGUGACUGGGGCUAAGUCGUAACAAGGUAGCCGUACCGGAAGGUGCGGCUG